rnacentral:rRNA from 1 species
UACGUAGGGGGCAAGCGUUGUCCGGAAUUAUUGGGCGUAAAGAGCGUGUAGGCGGUCCGGUAAGUCCGCUGUGAAAGUCCAGGGCUCAACCCUGGAAUGCCGGUGGAUACUGCCGGGCUAGAGUCCGGAAGAGGCGAGUGGAAUUCCUGGUGUAGCGGUGAAAUGCGCAGAUAUCAGGAGGAACACCGAUGGCGAAGGCAGCUCGCUGGGACGGUACUGACGCUGAGACGCGAAAGCUAGGGGAGCAAACAGG